rfam:Clostridium sp. CAG:470 genomic scaffold, scf89
GAACGCCGUAUGAGGUGAAAAUCUCACGUACGGUGUGGACUGGGGGAAAAGAUGGAGAUCAUAUCAAAAUCUUACCUAUCAGUAU